UGAAGCUUGGGUAAAACCAAGUGGAGGUCCGAACCGACCGAUGUUGAAAAAUCGGCGGAUGAGCUGUGGUUAGGGGUGAAAUGCCAAUCGAACUCGGAGCUAGCUGGAUCUCCCCGAAAUGCGUUGAGGCGCAGCGGUUAACGAUGGGCUGCCUAGGGGUAAAGCACUGUUUCGGUGCGGGCUGCGAGAGCGGUACCAAAUCGUAGCAAACUAAGAAUACUAGGCUUCUUUCCGUUAACCAGUGAGACGGUGGGGGAUAAGCUCCAUCGUCGAGAGGGAAACAGCCCAGAUCACCAGCUAAGGCCCCAAAAUGACCGCUAAGUGGCAAAGGAGGUGAGAAUGCUGAAACAACCAGGAGGUUUGCUUAGAAGCAGCCACCCUUUAAAGAGUGCGUAAUAGCUCACUGGUGGAGCGUUCUUGCGCCGAAAAUGAACGGGACUAAGCGGUCUGCCGAAGCUGUGGGUAAUAUCAUUAUCUUUUGAUUUGAUAUUACGGUAGGGGAGCGUUCCGCUCUAGGGUGAAGCUCCAACGUAAGUUGGUGUGGACAAAGCGGAAGUGAGAAUGUCGGCUUGAGUAACGAAAACAUUGGUGAGAAUCCAAUGCCCCGAAAACCUAAGGCUUCCUCCACUAGGCUCGUCCAUGGGGGGUGAGUCGGGACCUAAGGCCAGGCCGAAAGGCGUAGUCGAUGGAAAACAGGUUAAUAUUCCUGUACUGAUUUUUAAGUGGUACCGAGGGACGAAGGAGGGAACAGUUGGCCAAUAUUGGAUGUUGGCGGAAACGUUCAAGGUGAUGAGAGAUAGAAUAAAAACUAUUCUUGAGCUGAGGCGUGAUACGGUUUUAUUCAAUGUAUGAGAGCUUUGCUCAAAUUCAAAAUAAAACUCAAUUAGUUGUCAAACUUCCUAGAAAAGCUCGAACUUCCAAUACUUAAAAAUUACCCGUACCCGAAACCGACACAGGUAGGUAGGUAGAGUAUACCAAGGGGCGCGAGAUAACUCUCUCUAAGGAACUCGGCAAAAUGGCCCCGUA
rnacentral:rRNA from 1 species